rnacentral:rRNA from 1 species
CCCUUAGAUGUCCUGGGCCGCACGCGCGUUACACUGAUGCAUUCAACGAGCUUAUAACCUUGGCCGAGAGGCCUGGGCAAUCUUGUUAACGUGCAUCGUGAUAGGGAUAGAUUAUUGAAAUUAUUAAUCUUGCACGAGGAAUUCCUAGUAAACGCAGAUCAUCAAUCUGCAUUGAUUACGUCCCUGCCCUUUGUACACACCGCCCGUCGCACCUACCGAUUGGAUGGUCCGGUGAAGCCUCGGGAUUGUGGUUCUUGCCGCUUUAUUGUGGCGUGACCGCGAGAACUUGUCUAAACCUUAUCAUCUAGAGGAAGGUGAAGUCGUAACA